UGUAAAUUAAUUUGGCCAACUUGUAUAAGUCAACAUAAAGGGUUGAUGUAUCUACAGUGAAACCUAUUUCGCUACUAUAAGUUUGCAAGUUUAAGCC
rnacentral:ncRNA from 2 species